ensembl:misc_RNA Metazoa_SRP Metazoan signal recognition particle RNA
GCUAGGUGUGGUAGCGCAUGCCUGUAAUCCCAGCUACUCGGGAGGCUGAGGCAGGAGAAUUGCUUGAACCUGGGAGGCUGAGGUUGCGGUGAGCUGAGAUUGCGCCACUGCACUCCAGCCUGGGCAAUAGAGCGAGACUCUGUCUCAA